UAAAAAUAGCGAUGAAUUCAAGGGUAUUGAUAUAUUCACAUCGCAAUUAUAGGUUACAUAGGCAGUGGGUCCAAAGUACAACACUAGAUUAAAGAUGUACGACAUUAGUCACUUGCAUGGGCGUGGGGUGAGUCUUUUCAACGGGUCUCAUUAAAGAACUUCUGUUACGUCGCUUUUUUGUCGUAAUAAAGUUUCUCUCCUUCUUUUACUCCACAUUUUCUAUUCGUGCUAUGAAUUAAGGGUCGUUAAGGAGGUGAGGUGGUCCAGUAGCUGAAGGCCGUCCACGCCGUGCCGGCCACGACAACCAGCGAGUCUUCCUUCGACAAGUUGGCUCCAAGGAAGGGCGGGGGGAUUGGGGUCUUGGGGCUGUAGUUUAGGACACCAUCGCUUCUCACAUCAACUAUUUCUGAAGGUCAAAGAGGGGAGCAAUCGGGUCUUCAUGAGGGUCUUGCGGCCGGACGCUCCAAGGUGGCGGUAACCUGGCCCCGGCGACGGUCGUAAUUAAGUCGGUGGUCACGUCGUCGAGGCUUUACACCUGCAACUCCUUGUCGGCAAUGCUCUUGCUGUACAGGUGACCCGUUGGAGAGUCAGGCCUUCGUACCGACACACCUGUCAAAAUAAAACAACACAAGCAGUAUAUCCAUUACAAAUCUUCCAAUUCCCUAUUUCUUGCACAGCACAUCUUUUCCAGAAAACUCUUCAUGGCUUCUAUAAUUCUAUCAUUUGCUUCAUCACUCAGGCCCAGCAGCAGCAGCAUCCAUUCCCUCUCUGUCCUUGCAAUCCUCCCAUUCACAUCCCCGCAGCCCACCUCACUCAGUGCCGCCCUCACAUCUCCGUCCUUUCUCUCCGGUGCCUCCCACACACCAGUAUCACAUGCACGACAGCUUCCUCCACACCCCUGUCACACAUCUGACACACUUUGCUGCGGGACUCAGACCACCUGUAGUUUCUUACAUUCACAUUCGUACAGGCAUUUUUGGUCUGGGUCCGGCGCCCUUCUCGCGGCAGUCUUCUGCGCGUCCGUCUUGUAUUGCCGCCUGGGUACAACAUGUGCUCGGCGCCAAUAAAACAAGAAAUGUCAGAUACAGACAGCAAGAUUUGGAGCCGGGAGGCCGAGGCGGCAUUACUAGAAGAAGUGAGGCAGCACAGAUACUUGUGGGAGCCACAAGAUAAGCGUGUGAGAAGCUGAGUCUGCGCAAAACAACGUUUGAGAGAGUGGCAGCAACAUACGAGAAAUGUUGAUCUCUUUGCGAGGCAUCGAAGGAGGUAAGGAACGAUUAUUUUCGUGUAUUAUAUAAUCACACUAUUUAAUGCCUGGGAUGGCAUGUUCCUCCCUUCUCCUUUGUUGUUAAAUGCAACAAUGAACAAUCAAUCAAUCAAUACUACUGAAGGUAAAACUCGCUUACUUAAAGUAUUUCCACAAUAUUAGCUGAUGGACCAAACUCAUUGUGGUUUUAAUAUAUGGUAGUACUAGUAGCCUUUUGGGGUGUCUGGGAUGAAUUCAUGCCCUUGCAUUUACUAGCAGUCUACGUCUUGAUGCUCCCGGCCUCUCCUCCCACGCGUGAACGUACUUGCUCCCGAGGGUACGAGCUGGUCUAGCCGCUAGAUCGUCGCGGCUGUAUUGCCGACCAGGAAUUGCCAGGUGUGAAGCCGUCUUAAGUUUGCUCCGCGCUAGGACCGUCCUCCGCAGCGAUGCACAGCGCGGUCGCAGCGGGGUGUUGAGGGUCAGCCCUAUGGUUCACGAGUGAGGCGGUAGAGGGCGGGCAGCUCACCAGGUGAUGUGAUUGCAACCAAUGGAAAUCAUUGAAACAAAAAAGACAGCCAAUCAGGAUCAAGGAAGGUGAUUGCAAAAAAAACGGCGCCAGCGACGAAAACUACCGCGAGUCAGUAUUUCCUCAAGUCCGUACAGCCAAGCUAAGAUGGGGAAGACUAGUGAGUAUUGGCCGGAGAGGAGGUUGCCGUGCUGGCGCCGGAUGCUCAAAGGUGGUGGUAACUUAUCCCCGGAGACGGUUGUAAGUCACGGGUCGCGUCGCGAGUUUGCUCCCCGCUAGGAUGCUCCUCCGCAGCGAUGCACAGCGCGGUCGCCGCGGCGUGCUAAGGGUUAGCCAUAUGGUUCAUGAGUGAGGCGGUAGAGGGCCGGCAGCUCACCAGCUGAUGUGAUUGCAACCAAUGGAAAUCACUGAAACAAAGAAGACAGCCAAUCAGGAUCGAGGAAGGUGUUUGUAAACAAACGAUGGAAACUUGGGCAUUUGGUGCGGGGCCGCCUAGCCACGCUUCCCUACUUCCUUCCAUUCUUCCACCGACUGUUGCAGUGGCAACACCUGACCUCGUAGAACCCGACCACUCCUCACACCAGUCAUCCGCGCCUCACUUGGCCCUUCCUCAAGAAGACGCAAACACUCCAACUGUUGCUCCAACUCCUCUCCCUGGACGUGACGUGACCAUCUGCGCCUCACUUGCCCCUUCCUCAAGAAGACACAAAAGGAAUGGAGGGGAAGAAACCCAUCAUGGGCCAUCGUGGGAUUCCAAACCCGGACCAAUUGGCGCUGACACAGGAAUACCAGGAUGCUGCAACACCUGCAGAGGAGGAGGAGGAAGAGGAGUGGAGGCAGGUGCAGCCCACCACCGAGGUUAUACCAGUGGAUAUGCCUGCGGCCCUUAAUGACCAUUUAUAUGUGGCAUUUAUGGGCACCCCAAGACAGGCAUCAAGGCCCAGGCCCUCAACGACCCACCACCCCUAUGCCCGCCCAGCCAACCACACUCCCACCCGCCCAGCCAGCCACCGGAGAACUGCACAACAUCCUGCACAGGACAUUAACCUACUGGAGCAGAUGUUUGAAGUGCAGAAGACACUCAACACUUCGGUGGAGAGGAUGACCGACAGGCUGGAGCAAGCGAUUGCUCGCGCUGGUUCGGAGAUUGCAGCUGCUAUACGGUGUGCUGCAGGUAAACUGCCACAGUAAUGUGCAUGUUUAUCUGCAGCACCCGCCUGCAGAGACCUCAUGUUUGACAGCUUGAGGUCUCUGC